AUCUUUCAGUGAACGCUCCAGAUUGAUCGAAGCAGAUUUCGCCGGAAGCAGCUUCUGCGGCUCCUCCUUCGCUUCCAUCGGCUUUCUCUCUGCUUCUCUCAGUGUUGUACGGCUUCUGCUCUGGAGUCAUCCCACCAAAUAUAUACGGCGGCUCCAGAUUCUCCUUCAUGAUCCUUCCACACACCAAAAAAACCCUGACCCCGACGCGUCUCCUCUCCCGUUCGCGGUUCGCCUCUCCCUGCACCACCGCCGCCCUCCUCCCCCAGCCCCGGCGGUGGCCGUCGCAGGCUAUGGAGUGGCGUGUUUGGGACCUGACGGUGGCCGCAGGCACGCCUUCCCCCGUCGUUGCCUCCUCCCGUCAGUUUGCGUGUUCUUGAUGAAACCCUAGCUUCCUGUUCUCGAUGGCCCCGGCGGCGUCGCGAGCCACACCUGGCGGCGCAAGCGCGUGGCGCGGCCGACCCCGGCUAUGCAUGGCCUCUUUCUCGCUGACGGCGGCGGCGGCUCAGCUCGGGUCGGUUCCUCCCUUCUCUUCUUAUUUCUCCCAUUCUCCCCUACCUUUGACUCGCUCCCCCUUGGCUGUGGAUGGCGAUUUGUAUUCAGAUGGAUUGUCCGCAUCAGCUGCCUCCCCUACCUCCACUUUGUUGCGUUGCCAACAUGGCUGCUCUGCUUGUUGCGGUGGAGGAUGUGGCUCAGGCGCACGGCGCCCCUCCUUCGACAGCUGGGGUUCACCCUAGGCACUUUUUACCUGUAAACCGAAAACCGAACCGAACCGAACCGAAAUUGCGGUUUAUUCGGUUUUCGGUUGCGGGUUCGGUUAUGGUUUUUGUGGUAUUCGGUGUUCGGUCUCGGCUUCGGUUUUAUACUGAAACCGAACCGAAUAACCGAAUAAACCGAAAUACCCUCUUUCACUUCUUUAUCGCGGGUUAUUUACUGUUUCAAUAAUGAAGAACUUUUGAAACUAUGUUUGCUGCCUUGUUGAUUUGUGUACUAUGAGAAUGUGAGAUACUGAGAUGCACUACUUUUAAAUUUUUAUGUUAACAUAUUGUUUUAAUAUGCUGUUGCUUGCAAUCUGCUGUUGUUUAAAUAUGCUGAUGCCAUUAUAUUCGGUUAUUGCGGUUAAAAACCGAAAACCGAAUUUACAAACCGAACCGAAAUUCUGCGGUUUUCAUUUUUUUUUGAAUAACCGAUCGGUGCUUAUUUGUUGGAAACCGAAAUAUUUGUAACCGAACCGAAUUUGCGGUUAUAACCGAACGCCCAGGGUGAGCUGGGGUAGCCAUGCUAAUGCUGGAUCUACCGCGGCUCAUCAGUCACAUGACGCAUCUUCCAUGAGAGGUGAGUAGGGCCGUCACUCUAUCAUUCUGUAUUUUUUUUCUCUUCACGUGUAUAGAGUAAUUAUAUCUGGUGUGGUUAUUUUAAUUCUUUUGAAUUUAGCAUUGCAUUAUAGAACAAAUGGCGGAGGCCAUGAACUAUAUGGUCUAUGGUGGUGAUUACUAUUACUUCUUGAAAUUCAUUUUGGAUUCGUAAUUUUUUUAAUAAAUAUUCCAAUGGUCUAAUUGAUUUUUCCCCUCCAGAGAAUGCCACGUACUCCCUUUUAUUUGUCUACAACUUGAUCCGAAAUGCUCAGGACAAUCGACCAAUAAAUGACUCAUUCAUGGUGGGAAAUGGCUGUAGAGCUCAAAUUAGUUGCCAUUGAUCAAUGUUAUGCAAAGGAUCGAUGAGUUUGUGGGCAUUGCACAGUUGCUGGUCCUGUGUGUGCUGAGUUUAGGAGAUUUUAAGCAGAUCCAAAAUGUGAUGAGCCUACGGAAUGAUAUGGUGUAUGGUUUAAAUCCAUCUGAUCGAACGGAUGAAGUUAGCACAGAUCUUGUCAGCCAGUGUCGCUGAAAUCAACAAACUUCUGCAGUUUGUGAGUAUACAAAUCUAAUGUUGGUUCCGAGCACAUGCCCUAUUUCCAAAGAUUACAUUGUCAAACACUUUUGGUUGUCCGCGAGUGCUUUUGGUUCUCCUGUUUGUUUGAGUUUUCAAUACAACUACAUACAGAGAAUAGUUCCUGUUUUACUUCAAGCUCUGUCAGAUCCUCUCGGUACUUCAGGUCAAAAUGUUCAGCCACCAUAUGUAGUGCAACAUGUACAGAAUAAAAUGUCAGCAACCAUCAUGCAUGAACAUAUGUACCUGUGAACUUUAUAUAUGUUCUCUUAAACUCAACUUUUAGAUGGUGCAGCCGCGCUUCACCAUGCUGCAUAUUUCUCUAGCGUUUUCUUGUGAACUCCAUAGCCAUGUGAGUUUAUACUACAUUCUUUCUAUGCCUUAUGAUAUAUAUGACAAACUUUGAACGGUCAGUUUAUACUA